UGAGCCCGUAAAACCAACAAGGUUUUUGGAUUGUGAGCCCGGAAAACAAUCCAACUGUAAUCCGUGAGAUUAUAGUGAAUUCCCAAGGGGACGCUUGGGGAGUGGACGUAGGUGCUAAGGAGAGCACCGAACCACUAUAUAUUGUUGUGUUUGUGUUAUGCUUGUGUUUCCAUUUAUUCUUGCAUCAUCUUCUAUCUUUGCACUAGUUUAAAUCAUUCUAAUAGCUUAAGAAAGCAUCCACCGCACUUAUUUGAGAAAACGUUUAAAGCACCGAAAAUUAGAAGAAACCAAUUCACCCCCCCCCUCUUGGCUUGUCACCUUGGGCAACACCCCUGAUGCUUCAGUCGAGCCCCCCCGCGUUCCUCUCGGGCCGGGGGCAGCCCCCAGUGAUAGUAUGGAUCACGCCCGCGACGGGUCGAUUCUGCUCCCGAGGCUCCGGAGGGGCCGGGUCGGCCGGACGCGAGUCUGCGGGGGGACGUCGGUCGUU
rnacentral:lncRNA from 1 species